UAGGGAAUCUUCGGCAAUGGGGGGAACCCUGACCGAGCAACGCCGCGUGAGUGAAGAAGGUUUUCGGAUCGUAAAGCUCUGUUGUUAAGGAAGAACGAGUGUGAGAAUGGAAAGUUCAUACUGUGACGGUACUUAACCAGAAAGGGACGGCUAACUCCGUGCCAGCAGCCGCGGUAAUACGGAGGAUACGAGCGUUAUCCGGAUUUAUUGGGUUUAAAGGGUGCGUAGGUGGUAUUGUAAGUCAGGGGUGAAAAGCUAUAGCUCAACUAUAGUCUUGCCUUUGAAACUGUGAUACUUGAGUGUAGAUGCUGUGGGCGGAAUGCGUAGUGUAGCGGUGAAAUGCAUAGAUAUUACGCAGAACUCCGAUUGCGAAGGCAGCUCACAAAGUUACAACUGACACUGAUGCACGAAAGCGUGGGGAUCAAACAGG
rnacentral:rRNA from 1 species